AUUGAACGCUGGCGGCAGGCCUAACACAUGCAAGUCGAACGAGUGGCGGACGGGUGAGUAAUGUCUGGGAAACUGCAUGAUGGAGGGGGAUAACUACUGGCAACGGUAGCUAAUACCGCAUACCAUCGGAUGUGCCCAUAUGGGAUGAGCUAGUAGGUGGGGUAACGGCUCACCUAGGUGACGCUCCCUAGCUGGUCUGAGAGGAUGACCAGCCACACUGUAACUGUGACACGGUCCAGACUCCUACGUGAGGCAGCAGUGGGGAAUAUUGGCCAAUUGGCGCUAGCCUGAUGCAGCCAUGCCGCGUGUAUGAAGAAGGCCUUCGGGUUGUAAAGUACUUUCAGCGUGGAGGCGUUACCCGCAGAAGAAGCACCGGCUAACUCCGUGCCAGCAGCCGCGGUAAUUC
rnacentral:rRNA from 1 species